ensembl:lncRNA
GGGGGGGGCAGCCAUAUGUUGUUACACACAGACACACAGACUGUCUGUAGUUACAGCCACUUCCUCUCUGCAGCUCAGUCAGCUGAAAACACCAUCCAUCUCCUCCUAACCACGCACUACAAACACCUAGAAGCACAGACUGUCUGGAGUUAUGCUGAACCUUUCCCACUAUGAAUACCAGGUUAACUGAGGGACAGACAGUGUGGUGAAGAAGGAGCAACAGCACCUCUUUAACCUCAGGAGGCUGAAGAAAUUCAGCUCGGCCCCUGACUUCUACAGAUGCACCAUUGAGAGCAUCCUGUCAUGCUGUAUCACCGCCUGGUAUUGCAAUCGCACCGUCCACAACCGCAGGAGACAUGUGAGAUGGUGCGGUCAGCCUAACGCAUCACCGGGGGCACACUGCCUGCCCUCCAGGACAACUACAGCCCCCGGUGUCACAGGAAGGCCAAGGAUAUCAUUAAGGACCUCAGCCACCCGAUCCAAGACCUGUUCACCCCGCUAUCAUCUAGAAGGCAAGGUAUUACUGCUGGAGCUACGAACACAAACAUUUAGCUGCACCUACGAUAACAUCUGCUGCCCUGUGUCUGUACGGAACAGGGUGCGAUGUGGGACAGAACCCAGCUGUAGAUAUGUGAUUGGGAACAGCAGGAGUAGUGGAGCACCUGUGUUCAGCAGGGCUUUAUUGACAUGGGAAACAUAUGUUAACAUUGCCAAAGCAAGUAAAAUAGAUCAUAAACAAAAGUGAAAUAAACAAGAAAAAUGAACAGUAAAC